rnacentral:rRNA from 1 species
CCUACGGGUGGCAGCAGUGGGGAAUAUUGGACAAUGGGCGCAAGCCUGAUCCAGCCAUGCCGCGUGUGUGAAGAAGGCCUUUUGGUUGUAAAGCACUUUAAGCGAGGAGGAGGCUCCUUUAGUUAAUACCUAAAGAGAGUGGACGUUACUCGCAGAAUAAGCACCGGCUAACUCUGUGCCAGCAGCCGCGGUAAUACAGAGGGUGCGAGCGUUAAUCGGAUUUACUGGGCGUAAAGCGUGCGUAGGCGGCUUUUUAAGUCGGAUGUGAAAUCCCUGAGCUUAACUUAGGAAUUGCAUUCGAUACUGGAGAGCUAGAGUAUGGGAGAGGAUGGUAGAAUUCCAGGUGUAGCGGUGAAAUGCGUAGAGAUCUGGAGGAAUACCGAUGGCGAAGGCAGCCAUCUGGCCUAAUACUGACGCUGAGGUACGAAAGCAUGGGGAGC